rnacentral:rRNA from 1 species
GACGAACGCUGGCGGCGUGCCUAAUACAUGCAAGUUGAGCGAUGAAGAUUGGUGCUUGCACCAAUUUGAAGAGCAGCGAACGGGUGAGUAACGCGUGGGGAAUCUGCCUUUGAGCGGGGGACAACAUUUGGAAACGAAUGCUAAUACCGCAUAACAACUUUAAACAUAAGUUUUAAGUUUGAAAGAUGCAAUUGCAUCACUCAAAGAUGAUCCCGCGUUGUAUUAGCUAGUUGGUGAGGUAAAGGCUCACCAAGGCGAUGAUACAUAGCCGACCUGAGAGGGUGAUCGGCCACAUUGGGACUGCGACACGGCCCAAACUCCUACGGGAGGCAGCAGUAGGGAAUCUUCGGCAAUGGACGCAAGUCUGACCGAGCAACGCCGCGUGAGUGAAGAAGGUUUUCGGAUCGUAAAACUCUGUUGGUAGAGAAGAACGUUGGUGAGAGUGGAAAGCUCAUCAAGUGACGGUAACUACCCAGAAAGGGACGGCUAACUACGUG